GUGUGUGUGUGUGUGUGUGUGUGUGUGUGUGUGUGUGUGUGUGUGUGUGUGUGUUUGUCCUUCACACAGGUGCCGUCAAAAUUAAAGGAACGCACUGUUUCCUCCUGUCUCUUAUCAUAUGCCCUGGGAGUGAACAGGCAGAGAAUAAAGGUGUCUGUGGCACAGACACCGUGGGGGGUCCCUCUUGUUUGGCGCCUCAGUUCAGCACAGAGCCAGAUUUACUGGACAGGACGUGGGCCUCCUGUCACUGGUGGUGGGACCUUACGGACGCUUCGUCAGGCGCUUCCUGUCGUCGGCUGAAACCUACUUCCUGCCGGCGCGGAGGAGAUCCUGGGAGACCUGGUGGCCACGCUGCACCCGGAGCUCUACGGGCGGGUGGGACUCGCCACGGGCCGCCGACGUGCCCGUGCACAGGACCGUGUCCCUGGGACGGCAGUGCGAGGCUUACGACGAGCAGCAGCACCGGUGCUGAGUGAAAGUUAGGACCAGAGCGUCACUCCCACGCGAGGGAAUCUUUAGGUUAGAGGUCCCCUGGUCAGAAACAAGUAGAGCAAUAGUGGCAAGAUUGAGAGAUUACAUCUAUUCUGAUUAAAUCCUCGUUUAGCCGACAAUUACGUAGAAAUAAACUGGACAAUCUAUUCUCAAUUAAAGCCACGUUGGAGUGAGCAGGGCCUCUGCAUCCCCGCUAUCUCGGCCCACAGCAGACGAAAAACACAACAAAUUGACCUGUCUCUUUAAACGGAGCGCCGGCCUCUCCAUUAAUGUCCGCCUCCGAGAUACGGCUCCAGCGGCUUUGUGGUCGGCGGCGAUAAGAGUCAACAUUGGAAGUGCACACUUUCCCUGCAGUGGCCAAUCAUUAACUGGAACAGCUGCUGUUUCAAGGUCUUUAAAUACCAGAUGGGAAAAAGGUGGAUACGACAGGAUCCACGUGUGUGGAUGCGUUAAAAAGGGUUCAUAGCGUGUCAUUUUAGAAGGAAUUAAACUGCUACAGGAUGUGUUGAAGAAAGUGGAACAGUUGUAGAGCAGAUGAUGGUGGUUGUUGUACGGUCUGACGUGUGUGUUCUGCUUCAUUCCUUGCACACACACACACACACUCUCCUCUCCCUGUGCUGUGUGUUUAAUGGAAGGGUUAAACAGCAGCAGAUGGCUUUUUUCUCGCUGCCAGCAGAAUGCGUCUGCGGGGCCAGAUCGCCACGUAGAGCGGAGCCGUGAAGCUGGAGGUGCAUAUCACACAAACCUCUGGAAUACACAGAAGCAAGCGUGUGGAUUUCCCAUCAAUCACAUGUUAUCAGUCGAUCAAUAUGUGUCGUUUUUUACACUAAAUCAUCGCAGCUACUUCUGUCUUUCUUUAUUUCCCAGCGUUAACAAGUCAGUUCUGAUGUUUAACGUCAUACAAAUUCCACACAGGAAAAAUGAAAAUGUUUAGGAUCCUUUAGUAUUUCUACACACUCUGUAACACGUCAUCUAAAAGAGGUUAGGUCACUUCUGACUAUAGUUUGCUGGAGCUUGUACAUCUGUGUUUGUUGGUUUGAAAUAACAAUGACCUGCGCAAAUAAAAGUCAGUGAGCUGCG